rnacentral:rRNA from 1 species
UACGUAGGGUACUAGCGUUGUCCGGAAUUAUUGGGCGUAAAGAGCUCGUAGGUGGUCUGUCGCGUCUGCUGUGGAAACGCAUCGCUUAACGGUGCGCGUGCAGUGGGUACGGGCGGACUAGAGUGCAGUAGGGGAGUCUGGAAUUCCUGGUGUAGCGGUGAAAUGCGCAGAUAUCAGGAGGAACACCGGUGGCGAAGGCGGGACUCUGGGCUGUUACUGACGCUGAGGAGCGAAAGCAUGGGGAGCGAAC